rnacentral:lncRNA from 1 species
AUUAUUAUUCACUAUCAAAGCACGUUUGUCUGACCUGUAUAUGGUAAUCUUUUUUUUAAGCUGUAAGUAAGCUCUCUACUAACUUCAGUUGAUCAGAUGAUUUUGCGAAAUGGGAUAUUCAAUCAGAAGCGCAAUGCUCUGCUAAUCAAGCAUGCGUCUUUUUUAGAAGCGAUUUAAGAUUCUGUGGUUGAUACAGGUUGAAUGCAUUCCUUGCAAUUGAGACGUGGUUGAAAAUUUCUCUGAGAUACUGGAUUUUGAUAGAAUUAUGCCUCCAACUCAAUUCUGAUAAGCUUUAUUAUGCUUUUGUUUAGUAAUGUCAACUAAACUAUAUUCCAUUUAACUUUCUGGUGCAGAAAUUGAGGGGACAGUAAAGGCAACAGAAAUGCUCGUGCAACAAAAUCGGGCUAUUUAUUGGGAUGAAAUAUUCUUAAGGUUAAGGUAUUGCUGUGCUUGGAUUUCUUUUACUAACUACGGAUUUGGGUAAAACAAAAAAUAUCAUCAGAAGAAUUGAUUGUGUACGGCAGAAUUGAGCCCUUUGCCUGGCGUGAUUGGGGAGGGGAUGUUUCUUUAUGAUUCUCAUAGUUCAUAAAAACAUAUAUACUCUCCAUUUUGAAGUUGUUUCCCUUGAUUGUGCUACCCUAGAUGUUUCAUGCAAGCAGGAAUCUUUGAUCAGUUGGACUUCGCAGUUUUAAUUUUAGACCUUGAGGACUUCAUGAGGGGAAAUUGUGCUUGCACUCUCCAUCUCACCCAAUAUGUAUGGAUUGCCUGCUUGUCCAGUGAGGAUCAGUACUAACCUAAAACAUUUAGUUGCUACUGGUUUGUAUCUUUGUAAAGAAGCUAAGAGCUUUUCAACUUAGAGAGCAUGUGAAAGACUUAAAUGGUUAAGUUAGGAAGAAAAGAUUUGGACUCAGAUUUUACUUCACUGACAUUUUAAAGACAAAGUUGCUAUCAGAUUGUAAAACAAAAGUAUAAUACUUGGCAUCACUGGAUCCACCAUUCCAAAUAGCUAUAUUAUUAUAGAGGGAAUAGAAUUCACAAUCCGUUAAGGGAUUAGUAAAUCAGGAAAACUUUGAUCACAGCUUCUCCUUUUGUGCUGGAGAUAAGCUGUCGAUAUUCAUAUUCAGAUUUCAAAGUUGUCAGACUUCUAUCAUCACCUUUAGAAAGUAAAAGUUGACAUGUCCUAUUUUGUUGAUCAAUAUAAAGCAUCCUACACGAAUCCAACUUUGGUGGUUACAGUUGCCAUGAAACUUGGAUAUGCUGAUGCAAGAGAAAAGUUGGCAUGAUAUAUCAGCCUCCAAUAAUAACAUUUUAUUUCGAGGUUAUAACUCAUGCAACAUUAAUAUCUAAAAUUUUGCUCUUCUGUACAAUCAGUGGAAGAGAGGAUUUCACUUUUUCUCUUCUUCAGAUGUCUGCUUUUGCUUUGUUUCUGUUUCUGAUAACACACUCUGCUCGUAGAUGACUUGAGAAAGCAAACCCACCAAGAUCGCUCCAAGAACUGCACUCUUUGUCCAGUCAGAAGGUGAAGAGAUUAAGGCAUUCGUAAUCCCAACUACUACAAGACCGAUAAGUGCAAGGUAGAUAUUCCUUCUAGUCUUUGACUCAGCAUUUUCUUUACUGAGUUGCUUAAUCUUGUCCGUUUCCUCCUUAGCUUUUGCUUUAUCCACUGAUUGUUUUUGCCCUAAGUUCUUGAAGAAAAGCCCUUCAUUUCUCUCUUCCUCCAUUUGGCCCUCAAAGUCCGCCAAUUUCUUCUCGUUCUCCUCGAUCUCCUGUUUGUUUAACUCUAUUGAUUCUUCAAAAGCUUGCAUCCGGCUCUCUAUAUUUUCCAUUAUCUGUUCCACAAAGAAAGAAAAAAAGAACAGAUCAAGAACUGUGUAAUUGAGAGAUGAAAACUGAACUCCACUUUCUGUAUGAUUUGGUUAUGCAGUUGAGUGCAGACCCUUGCACCAGCUUCAUCAAGCUCUUUGAGGGCAUUUUCACCAAUCUGGUCAAUCUCGGCAUUGGCAUCUUCAGCAAACUGGGACAGAUAAGCAGAUCUUUCGUCUAAGUAGUCGGUAAGACGAACUUUCUGAGUUU